rnacentral:rRNA from 1 species
AUUGAACGCUGGCGGUAUGCUUAACACAUGCAAGUCGGACGGCAGCAUGACGAGUAGCAAUACUUGUUGAUGGCGAGCGGCGCACGGGUGCGUAACACGUGGGAAUAUGCCUUUUGGUACGGAACAACCACUGGAAACGGUGGAUAAUACCGUAUGGUCCCUCCGGGGUAAAGAUUUAUCGCCAAAAGAGUAGCCCGCGGCAGAUUAGCUAGUUGGUGAGGUAAUGGCUCACCAAGGCGACGAUCUGUAGCUGGUCUGAGAGGACGAUCAGCCACACUGGGACUGAGACACGGCCCAGACUCCUACGGGAGGCAGCAGUAGGGAAUAUUGGACAAUGGGGGAAACCCUGAUCCAGCCAUGCCGCGUGAGUGAUGAAGGCCUUCGGGUUGUAAAGCUCUUUAUCCUACGAAGAUAAUGACUGUAGUGGAAGAAUAAGCCCGGCUAACUUCGUGCCA